AGCUUAUCUUGCGCAGCUUAGGUGGGAGGCUAUGAACCUUUUCUUCUGGGAAGAGGGGAGCCAUCAGUGAGAUACCACUCUUGGUAAGCUAGAGCGCUCAGUCUUCACCGUCAUCCGGUAAGACGACAGUUUCAGGCGGGCAGUUUGACUGGGGCAGUCACCUCCCAAAAGGUAAUGGAGGUGUGCAAAGGUUCCCUCAGGCUGGACGGAAAUCAGCCAUAGAGUGUAAAAGCAAAAGGGAGCUUGACUGCGAGACUGACAUGUCAAGCAGAGACGAAAGUCGGCUUUAGUGAUCCGACGGUGCUGUGUGGAAAGGCCGUCGCUCAACGGAUAAAAGUUACUCUAGGGAUAAC
rnacentral:rRNA from 1 species